UGGGGAAUAUUGCACAAUGGAGGGAACUCUGAUGCAGCGACGCCGCGUGAACGAAGAAGGCUUUCGAGUCGUAAAGUUCUUUUAUAUGGGAAGAUAAUGACGGUACCAUACGAAAAAGCCCCGGCUAACUACGUGCCAGCAGCCGCGGUAAUACGUAGGGGGCUAGCGUUGUCCGGAAUCACUGGGCGUAAAGGGUUCGCAGGCGGAAAUGCAAGUCAGGUGUAAAAGGCAGUAGCUUAACUACUGUAAGCAUUUGAAACUGCAUAUCUUGAGAAGAGUAGAGGUAAGUGGAAUUUUUAGUGUAGCGGUGAAAUGCGUAGAUAUUAAAAAGAAUACCGGUGGCGAAGGCGACUUACUGGGCUCAUUCUGACGCUGAGGAACGAAAGCGUGGGUAGCAAACAGG
rnacentral:rRNA from 1 species